GAGUGGUCAGGAGAAAGCUGAACAACAGGAGGUGGCAUAAAUGAGCAGAAAUGAUUUUUUUAGUCUGCUUUGAUCUCAAGUGACUAUAACAGUGCCUGACGCAUAGAAGGAACUCAGUAUUUCUUGAAUGAAUGAAUGAAUGCUUUCUCCUAUACCAUGAUAUGAAAUCGUUGGAAACCUUAAAGAGAUUUUUUUAUUGUGCUGA
rnacentral:lncRNA from 1 species